rnacentral:rRNA from 1 species
GAUGAACGCUGGCGGCGUGCCUAAUACAUGCAAGUCGAGCGAACGUACGAGGAGCUUGCUUCUCUGACGUUAGCGGCGGACGGGUGAGUAACACGUGGAUAACCUACCUAUCAGACUGGGAUAACUUCGGGAAACCGGAGCUAAUACCGGAUAAUAUUUUGAACCGCAUGGUUCAAUAGUGAAAGACGGUCUUGCUGUCACUUAUAGAUGGAUCCGCGCUGCAUUAGCUAGUUGGUAAGGUAACGGCUUACCAAGGCAACGAUGCGUAGCCGACCUGAGAGGGUGAUCGGCCACACUGGAACUGAGACACGGUCCAGACUCCUAAGGGAGGCAGCAGUAGGGAAUCGUCCGCAAUGGGCGAAAGCCUGACGGAGCAACGCCGCGUGAGUGAUGAAGGUCUUCGGAUCGUAAAACUCUGUUAUUAGGGAAGAACAGAUGUGUAAGUAACUGUGCACAUCUUGACGGUACCUAAUCAGAAAGCCACGGCUAACUACGUG